rnacentral:rRNA from 1 species
CCUACGGGAGGCAGCAGUGAGGAAUAUUGGUCAAUGGGCGCGAGCCUGAACCAGCCAAGUCGCGUGAGGGAAGACGGUCCUAUGGGUUGUAAACCUCUUUUGUCGGGGAGCAAAAGACGCCACGCGUGGCGUUCCGAGAGUACCCGAAGAAAAAGCAUCGGCUAACUCCGUGCCAGCAGCCGCGGUAAUACGGAGGAUGCGAGCGUUAUCCGGAUUUAUUGGGUUGAAAGGGUGCGCAGGCGGAAGAUCAAGUCAGCGGUAAAAUUGAGGGGCUCAACCUCUUCGAGCCGUUGAAACGGGUUGUCUUGAGUGAGUGAGAAGGAUGCGGAAGGCGUGGGGAAGCGUGGAAAUGCAUAGAUAUCAGGAAGAAAUCCGAUGGCGAAGGCAGGAUACCGGCGCUCAAUGGACGCGCAUGAACGAAAGUGUGGGGAUCGAACAGGAUUAGAUACCCUUGUAGUC